UACGGAGGGUGCAAACGUUGCUCGGAAUCAUUGGGCGUAAAGCGCACGUAGGCGGUUCGUUAUGUCGGAUGUGAAAGCCUCGGGCUUAACCCGAGAAGUGCAUCCGAAACUGGCGGGCUUGAGUACGGAAGAGGGUCUCGGAAUUCCCGGUGUAGAGGUGAAAUUCGUAGAGAUCGGGGGGAACACCAGUGGCGAAGGCGGAGACCUGGGCCGAUACUGACGAUGAGGUGCGAAAGAGUGGGGAGCAAACAGG
rnacentral:rRNA from 1 species